AACCUUAUGGACCUGCGGGCGUAUACCUGCGGAAGGAUCAUUACCGAGUUUACAACUCCCAAACCCCUGUGAACAUACCUAUACGUUGCCUCGGCGGAUCAGCCCGCGCCCUGUAAAAAGGGACGGCCCGCCCGAGGACCCUAAACUCUGUUUUUAGUGGAACUUCUGAGUAAAACAAACAAAUAAAUCAAAACUUUCAGCAACGGAUCU
rnacentral:misc_RNA from 1 species